GUCAGGAUGGCCGAGCGGUCUAAGGCGCCAGACUCAAGGUUAACCUUGCCUACCCAGUAGGCUUUGCGAGAAGUUCUGGUCCUCUUCUGAGGGCGUGGGUUCGAAUCCCACUUCUGACA
rnacentral:tRNA from 1 species